GUAUGUCUGUAUGUAUGUGUAUGUUUAUGUGUCUGUAUGUAUGUAUCUGUGUCAUACAGAUACAUACAUACAGAGACACACACAUACAUACAGACACAGACAUACACACAG